rnacentral:rRNA from 1 species
UACGUAGGAGGCAAGCGUUGUCCGGAAUUACUGGGCGUAAAGCGCGUGUAGGUGGUGGGACAAGUCUGCUGUGAAAGCGCCUGGCUUAACCGGGCGAGGUCGGCGGAAACUGUCCGACUAGAGGACGGUAGAGGGGGGGUGGAAUUCCGGGUGGAGCGGUGAAAUGCGUAGAGAUCCGGAGGAACACCGACGGCGCAGGCAGCGUCCUGGCCGCUUGCUGACACUGAGGCACGAAAGCUGGGGGAGCAAACAGG